rnacentral:rRNA from 1 species
CCUACGGGAGGCAGCAGUGGGGAAUAUUGCACAAUGGGGGAAACCCUGAUGCAGCGACGCCGCGUGAGUGAGGACGUAUUUCGGAAUGUAAAGCUCUAUCAGCAGGGAAGAAUAUGACGGGAACUGACUAAGAAGCCCCCGCUAACUACGGGCCAGCAGCCGCGGGAAAACGUAGGGGGCAAGCGUUAUCCGGAAUUACUGGGCGUAAAGGGCUCGUAGGCGGGAAGUCAAGUCAAGGGUGAAAUCCACGGGCUUAACGUGGGAACUGCCGUUGAAACUGGCAAACUGGAGUGUGUGAGAGGAUAGUGGAAUUCCAGGUGUAGGAGUGAAAUGCGUAGAUAUUCGGAGGAACACCAGUGGCGAAGGCGACUAUCUGGGACAUAACUGACGCUGAGGAGCGAAAGCGUGGGUAGCAAACAGGAUUAGAUACCCGAGUAGUC